GGCCAGCCAGCCUUUUUCCUAAUAGCCGGGCACAUCACCAGCAGGGUCCAGCCCUGCGUGGGGCAGAGAGAGAGACCUGAGAUGUUCCUCGAAGCUUCAGCUUCGUGCUUACGAGUUAUGACAAAGUCGUUGCUGGUUUGGUAUGGUCAGGCAUUCCCUCUGCUAACUCUGUGCUUUGGCUCUCCUCCCUGGCAAGUAUAAAUGUUCCAGAUAGUUGAACAGAUUCCUUGACACAAGACAGCUGCUUUUGUAGGGAGGAAUUAAUUUAAUCAAGGCUACUCCAUCAUUAAAAUAAUCUGAAGUGUCAGAUGGAAAAGCACAGAAGCGAGCUGACUUGAAGAUGAAAACUCAACAUUUUGUCCAGCCAGAAGUGUCCAGAAGAUGACGUAACAUUAUAAUAAGUCACUCUGGGUCUCCAUAUAAUAUUUUAGUAAUGUAAAAAAAAUAUCAUCCAAAGAGAAGUCUAAAGCCUGGCUGGCUGGCUUGAUAAAUUGUAUUUCUUCUCUGGAGCAUAAGACACCAUGCAGAUGUCGAAGACAACACAGUGGUCCACAAAGGGCAAGAUUAGACACGUGUGGUUGAUCCUACCGUGCAGAAUACAAGGGCCCUUUUUGGCUGAAAAUAGCAGAAAAUAGUGCAAACGGGUAACACGAAAAGCUGUCAAGCUCCACCUCUUGCGACAAGGCAGGAUCUGCUAUACCUUAAUUACUUGAUUACUUAAUUACUUCUCCAUCAUACAGCACCACAGUGUACUCUUCAUGGGCAACCAGCAUGGAUAUGGACACAGCCACUGCAUUAAGCAAAUCAUGUUGACAUUUGUUUAAAGAAACCUGUUCUGUGCAUAGAAGGGGACAACAGCAAAGUAGACAUAUUUAAGCGUGACUGCAAACAGAAGAAGGAAAGACCUAAAGAUUAAGGAUUUUAUUCAGAAAUUGGAGAACCAAGAGAAGGCUCCUGGUGAAUAGCUCCACCAACCAACAAUUCAGCACCAGACAGCACAAACCUGAGGGAUUUGUGAACUACUUCCACCACGCAGAUGGGAGAAGGGCUGAAAAAUGAAUGCACAAUUAUUCCACAGAAGUCCAUCAAAAUCAUAAUGAGCGUAACACACAAUAAAUUCCAGCUCUGCUCUGAACCCUGAACCCAGUAAUUAAAUGAUCUCUCAGUUUUUUAAAUAAGCCUAUACCCAUUGGGUACUUUAAAUGAUGCCAUAAGUAAUGUAAAAUAAUUAUCUUAAAAGUGCAGCUGCGCUGCCGUGAGUUUUCUCUCCAGAAGUGUUUUGGGUUAGCCAGGAUGGCUGAAGGCAAACCCACCCUCAUGCUGGAGGUGGCCUCAGAUGGGCAGAAGGAGAGAGAAAAUGUGAAGUCUUUUCAGGAAAUCUCCCACCUUUGUGCUCCUCCCAGCGCUCCCCGCUGGGUACCAGCACUGACGCCAGCAUCCAUGGGUUAGCAUCGCUGCUUUUGCCAGCCUGCUUUCACAGCAGAUAGCCAGCAACACACCUCCUCCGCUCCUGGCCCGAGACACGGGCUCAGCACAACCCUGACGGCAAGGCUGGGGAAAAGACUUAUCGUUCAAGUGCUCUGGUCCUGUGCCAUCCCAGAGAAUUACUUAGAAGGUGGCCUUAUGCUGCAACUGUGCAUGCAGGACAUGCAACGAAGACUUCAGUGUCCAAGAGAUAAAAGGAGGGGUAAGGGUACUGUUCUGCACCUGGAAGACAGCACUGCACAUUUGGGUCAUCCCAGCUACAGACAGCAACAUCCCAGCGAUGUCUUUCAUUACAGGUACCACAGAAUUACUGAGAAACCCUUUCAGCAAAAGUGCUUUACAAACGGCAAACAAUUUUCUUCAUUCAAGGUGCUGAAAAUUAUUACUGCCAGCUCUUGCUGUUGCUUUCCCUAGCGCGCCAGCCUCUCCUUAGCCGUGCAAGGACCGGGUGUCAGGCUGAGAUCCAAGUCCCGAUAUCCCGACUGACUCAUCAGUCGGGGAAGUGAGAGGUGGGUGCACCAGCAGCCUCCCCACAGCCCCUCUCAUUGCGGGGCCCCUUGCUGGAUGCUUCUUUUCUGUACAUUCUCGCUGGUUCAUGAGCCAAAACUCAGUCUGUACGUUCUGGAAAUCCCUUUUCAGUUUCAACACUAAAGGUGCAGACCGAUGUCGUAACUGCUGCAGGACGACCCAUGCCACUCCGGCAGGGCCCCGUCUCCCCUGGGAGGGCAGGGGGGGCAAUCCCUGCCCCGCACACAGAGCUGCCCUGCCACGCUGGCGGGGAAGGGGCUGCCAAUUUCUGCAGCGCCAUCUGAUGCUGUCCCUUCUCGGCUUCUAUGGAGAAAUCUGGCAAGAUGUACUUUUCCUUCGCUUAGCUUUCCUGUUAACCCUUUUGCUGAGUGGGAGCCGAGGAGGCAACCAACAGCUUCCACAGUGGCAAGGCAGAAUGACUUCUGACUUUAGAGGGGCUGAGCUGCAGAGGAUGAAUGAUGCUUUCGUUAAAAAAGCAUCAUUAAAAAAGCCGGAAUAUUAGUUCUUUUAGGUUGCAAAGUCAAACACUUUAAACUUCAGAAAUAUCAGAGUUACUUUGCCUCUUGGUGGGGGACUGCCAAGGCAUAUGUAACUUAUUUCAGGGCUGGGGGAAGGGGAAAAUCAUUAGGAUCUGGAAGUCUGGGGAAAGACUAGGAAACUUGUACAAAUAGGCAGCGUGGAGGAUUAUUAGCUCCAAAUUCAUCUCAUUCAGGGCACUUAGGAGGUCUGGUGACAAAUUCAGACUUGGUGGGGUACACAAAUGAUCUAAAAAUGCAGAUGCAAAUUCAAUAUCAUAGUAUCAUCUUUAAAAUAAAAGUGCUUAAUUUCCGAGAUAAAUUCAUGGGUUGGGGGCAGUGACUGACCUGAAAGUUUGGUGCUUACACUGAAUUUAUUGCUUGUGUCCCCAGAGGUCCCAGCUGGUCAGGUGGAGUUGUCAUGCAAAAACCAGCCAAACCUCAGUUCUGUGGCAGCUCCAGCUGAGGGACUGGCUUUUGCUACCAAUUUCUUGGGCUGAGCUUAGUUUUAACAACAUUUGCUUAAGCUCGUCUUUGCUCCAUUGACCUGGUUUCUUCUGGAAAGCACAUGGUGACUCGAAUGGGCUGAGACCUUCCGUGCACCCCGCCGCCGGCUGGGAUCACUGCUGGCCCCCAGCUCCCCGGUCUGGAGGAUGUGCAGGCAGACCUGGGAGCAGCCCAGCACCAAGCACAGCGAUGCUCACACCGCUCCUCCGUCUCCCUGGGUUUGGCACGUCGCACCCAGAGCCCUGGGAGCCGAGUGGCUUUUCGGCUGCCCUCCGCCAGCUCCGCGCCUCCUCCGUCGGGAGACAGCCGGGCUCGCCGGGCAGAGCCUGCCAGAAGGACGGGGGGAACCGGUGGCACGGAGACGGUGCUGGCUGCCCAUCGGAGCUGCUGCCAGCAGCGUCCCAGUGUGAAACCAACGUACCAUAUGGUGAGUAGGUAUGACAGCAUCUGAGCGGGGUGGUGGGCAGCGAAGCGGGACCAUAUAUGAUCAUCCCAUGAGCUUGCGAGAGGAAGGAUUCCAGGCCCAGAAUAUCAGUGCAAUGCUGUCCUGAGCUUGCGCACAUAUGGCAGAGACGAUAUACUAUUAUGAGUCAUUGAGAAAUGUAAUAAAAAUAGGUUCUGCUACUGUGUAAAGAAAAUAACAGGUACUAAUUAAUCUGGAUGCUCUCUAUGGCACAGGGGAGCAGCGAGGAGGGCUGUGGCAGGCAGAGGACUGCCCUCAGUGAGCUGCCGAGGCACAAGGGAGCAAAGCGAGGAGCUCCCAGCACUGGUGUGUCAAGAGAGUUGGCAGAAAGACUGGGAAACCCUGUGUGAUUUCAGCUGAAAAGACUCUUCAGAUAUUUUCUAAUGCUAUUUGUAAUGCAUAUGCAACUGAGCAGGCGCUUUUUUUUAUUUCUAUUCCACAGGAAUUAAAUUAAUUUUAGAAAUGGCACUAUAACUAUUUUCCUGCCUCAGGGACCAUUUGUUUUAAAAUCAUUAAAGAUUUUUAUAUGACACUGCACUGACAUUUGAUGUGAAUAAAUUAAGGGAAUUAGUAUAAAACUGUGUUCUUUCUUCGUAGACUUCCCAGCGCAUAUCUGCACACACGUACAUUUGGUAAGGGUAGCCUGUGUAAAGGCAACGGUGUCUGUGUGUCCACAACGGAAUUACAGCCCUGGGGCAGCUCCACCGCUGAAAGCGCGGCGCAGGACAAUGCCUCCUCAUCUCUUCUCAGUACCUGGGCACAUCCUUGGCGGGGGCCAAACCCGUCGGUUCUGACCCGGCUCUGGAGCCAAAGCACCCCCGCUGGAAUUUUGCGGGCCGCCGUGCAGCCGGCUUGGUCCCGAGAAAGCAGCCGUAACGCUCUCACCGGGUGCCAGGAGGAUUGCUGCCGGCUGCAGAGCGUAGGGCCGGCCGGCAAACCCUACGCUCGGUGCGCUGCCAACGCGCCCAUCAGGUGCUCAGAGACCCCGGGGGGGCUGGAGCGGCGGCUGGCUGCCCAGGUUUCAUUCUGACCCCUUGUACCAGGCUGGCACGCCGCGUGAAGUCUGCUGUGCUGCCAGGCUCCCGCCUGCUCCCCGCACCGCAUGGGCAGCCCCAGGCAGCGACUCCAUUUGCUUUGUCCUCUCUGCCUGCUCUGUGUGCCCUGGGCCCUACUGACUGCCCGCACCCUGAGCGCUCUCACAUCAGAGCGGGACUGGGCAUUUCCCCUGGCACUCUGCAGUGGGACUCGGCAGCGCCAGCUCCGGCUCACUUGGCUGAACUGCCGCAAUUGCUCCUUAGCACAUUCAGUGCUGCCUGGGGACUCAAACCAGAUAUUUAUUUUAAUUUAGGAAGGGGUCCAGUGGCUGCCUGAAGCCUUCUUGGUGCCAUCAGCCACUAGAAGGAGUUGUGCUUCAUGCACGCAAGCGAGAAAAUCAUUUGUAGACAAACAAGCUAUACCGUUUGAGCUUGCAAGAAAGAGUGUGAUGCUGCGAUCUGAACGUAACCUGGAUUCAGACUUCAAGUAAGACAUAUUAAAACUUUAUUUGUUUCACUCUUUUAGAGGAACACUCGCUGCCCAUCACGUUUAACUUUUGGGACGAGCACUUCUAGGUAUCGCCCUUGGGGAUGUUACUGCAUCUGUGACUGCCAAGCUAGUCUCUAACUCCAGUUUUGCUUGGGUCUUCUGAAAAGGCAUACUGCUUUGUUUCCUACAACCCCAUCAUUUCUGACGGCGAUACAAUUGCCUUGUGCACAUUACUGAAACCAGUAGGGGAAAUUAAAAGCAUCAGAAGGUACGUUAAAAGAUGACAUACUUUUUUGUGUUCUAACCCCACCAUGUGAUAUUUAAGCAAAUUGCAUUACUCCAUUAUUAUUUUCCUCUAUGGACACAUGUGGUCAGGAAGGUUGCCGUGCCACACGAGCCCCUCGCUUGCUCCAGCACUGAGCUUGGCUGCGGGAGCCCCGGGGGUCCCAGCCGUGGGGACAGACACAACGGAGAGCUGCGGCUGCGGCUGCAGAGCAAACCCAGGGGAGAGGGUGGGCAGGCAGAGGCUGCAGCUGAGCAGCACGUGGCUUCCCUGUCCCCCCACAACAGCCCGGGCCACCUCACGGCCCUUCACCCUGCACCGUCCUCUGCUCGUCCCCUCUGGCCCCUUGAAAAUCUCCCCGUGCCCUCACGUCCCCGCCGGCGCCGAGCUCGCUGCUGAACCCAGCCCAGCCCAGCUCUGGAAACGCUGAGAAAUGUGGAAAGAGAGAGCCUGUGCAUCAAUUUUCACUUCCAAUAGCUGCUGCAAAAUAGACGGCAUUUCCCACGGAGAGGACCAGACAGGUCCCACUGAAAUCAAUGGCAAGUUUCUCAGACCCAUCAACACCGGUGAGAGCACAUAGAUAAAGGUAAGGCACUUAAUGAAAUGUCUGCGUAUGCAAUGCCAUUAAGGACAGGUUAAUGCAAUAGACUCAACAUGGGGCUAUACCUUAAAACCAUUCGGGAAAUGAAGCUAAUGCAGGGAGCAGCUGCUUUUCUAUUAGGAGCAGCACCGUGCAGGGAGAACAUCAGACCUGUGUGCUGAUCUCCGGCCUCUGCAGGUGGGUUCCCCAGCAGGAUCCACGCUGCAGCCUUCACCUGGACAGCAGGGAUGGCUCUGGUUUCCUGUGAGUUUCCCGCAUUCCCACCCCUCUCCCAGUUUCUCAAACAGUCCCUGGCUCUGCCUUCCUGCUGGGGCCAGGCAACAGGUCUGAUUUGUGAAGAAAUCAGCUUCUGCUGGUGUUAAUGCGCCAGGCUGCACAGCACGUGCGAAUCUCCUUUUGUGCCGGUGCCCUGUUCUGGACGUGGUGGCCCCCCUGGGCGAUGGGGACAUGCGUGGGUGGCAAGUGCUCGACCCACCACAGCUCGUCCGGGACACCCCAGCGCCUGGCCGGCGUGCCGUGCAAGGGCAGGGGUGGUGGCGAGGAGGGACAGUUAGUGGUUUUUGCUGCAGCAUUCCCCUCUUCCCUUUGCAACCCAUCUAGCUCAGGAAGAGGCAGCCGGGGCUCAUCGUCACCGCCCCAAAAGCACAAAGCACCCCCGUGCCACCAGCCAGCGCAGCGGCAGGACCCCCCCGACCGCCCCUCCGGGCGCUGCAACCCCAGCCCAGCCCCCGGCUCCACUGCAGGUUCGGUUCAUGAUUGUCUCAAACAUCACAUGGACACUCUUCACAGCGACUCGGACUUGGCUCUGCUCCAGCCCGGAGUCUCCAGCUCCAGUGUCCACAGUUCGGUGGCACGGUCCCGGGUUGUCCUCGGUGCCGUACGGACAUCCCGAGCUCCCUCCCGUGACUGACUGCGCCGGGAACCCCAGGGGAUGGGGCGGGAAGAAAAGGGGAAGGUAAAAAUAAAUCACUAAGCAAGUUAAGAAAGUCUGAGCCUUUGGAUGAACUGUGGAUGUUUGCUGCCAAGAUUAUUCCAGGGUUUCUUAUUUCGUAGUUGGUUAUCCACAGCAAGCAAUGCCUUUGUCUUUGUGGUCGUUCUCUGUCAGCUGUGGGAAGCCUCCGGCAACCGGGUGUCUGAAAACAAAGGCCAGUUUUCUGGACACUAGGAAUGAAAGCAGGACUUUGUGACUAUUUGCUGAGUCCAGUCUUGAGGUUACAACCCUGAUCUGGUAGAGGACUGGCAGUACCUGACCUGGGGGGGACCCAGACAUCACACAGCCCUGAAGGACAGGCUUGGAGGGACCUCCAGAGCCCACCUGCUCCCUGGGUGGCCCCGUCUUCUCAGCAGAUGUGCUUUUAACCUGCUCUUUAAGGUCCCACC